CGGGCGGGGGCCCGCGGUGGGGGCGACCCGGGGCGGCGGCGCCGAGCGGGUUAAGUGGCUCCCUGGAAGUCCUACGGUCCCAGCAACGGGCCGGCCAAUGGGAAGUGAGCCGGCUGAUGUCACUGGCAGCACUCCGCCAAUCAGCGCCCGGUCCCGAAAGUCUGCUGUACCAGAGGAGGAUGACAGAGAACAAUACUACUCAGCAGAUGCCAAUGAGGAUACAGUCUGUGAGCUGAUUUCAUCUGCUUCUCCGGUUUCUGAAGGUAUGAGUAGGAAUUUUCUUAAUUAUCUUCUUCCCCUCUUUGCUUAUGAAAUAAAUGUGCUUUGUGGAAAAUGUAUUGAUACUGGAGUGAAUACAGUAAGAGUUUGUUCUUUGCAACUGAUGCAAAUUUCAUUUUAUUUUGAUCAGUUGUUACAGACCUUGCAAAUGCUCACAGGUGCAAUUGGGAAGUUUGUGUAUGGAAG
rnacentral:lncRNA from 1 species